AGGGGGUGACUAUACAUGCAAGUCGAGCGGACCGACGGGAGCUUGCUCCCUUAGGUCAGCGGCGGACGGGUGAGUAACACGUGGGUAACCUGCCUGUAAGACUGGGAUAACUCCGGGAAACCGGGGCUAAUACCGGAUGCUUGAUUGAACCGCAUGGUUCAAUCAUAAAAGGUGGCUUUUAGCUACCACUUACAGAUGGACCCGCGGCGCAUUAACUAGUUGGUGAGGUAACGGCUCACCAAGGCGACGAUGCGUAACCGACCUGAGAGGGUGAUCGGCCACACUGGGACUGAAACACGGCCCAGACUCCUACGGGAGGCAGCAGUAGGGAAUCUUCCGCAAUGGACGAAAGUCUGACGGAACAACGCCGCGUGAGUGAUGAAGGUUUUCGGAUCGUAAAACUCUGUUGUUAGGGAAGAACAAGUACCGUUCGAAUAGGGCGGUACCUUGACGGUACCUAACCAGAAAGCCACGGCUAACUACGUGCCAGCAGCCGCGGUAAUACGUAAGUGGCAAGCGUUGUCCGGAAUUAUUGGGCGUAAAGCGCGCGCAGGCGGUUUCCUAAGUCUGAUGUGAAAGCCCCCGGCUCAACCGGGGAGGGUCAUUGGAAACUGGGGAACUUGAGUGCAGAAGAAGAGAGUGGAAUUCCACGUGUAGCGGUGAAAUGCGUAGAGAUGUGGAGGAACACCAGUGGCGAAGGCGACUCUCUGGUCUGUAACUGACGCUGAGGCGCGAAAGCGUGGGGAGCGAACAGGAUUAGAUACCCUGGUAGUCCACGCCGUAAACGAUGAGUGCUAAGUGUUAGAGGGUUUCCGCCCUUUAGUGCUGCAGCAAACGCAUUAAGCACUCCGCCUGGGGAGUACGGUCGCAAGACUGAACUCAAGGAAUGACGGGGGCCGCACAAGCGGUGGAGCAUGUGGUUAAUCGAAGCAACGCGAGAACCUUA
rnacentral:rRNA from 1 species